rnacentral:snRNA from 1 species
UACUUUUAACGUUAUUUUAC